AAAGUGCUAUCACAGAGAUUAACAGUACUAAAGUAGUCACACUGACUGCACAGAAUGAGGAGGUACAGUAAAUGCACCCCAUAUACACCUCAAUCCAGGCCCUAUGCCUGGUCUGUAUUGUGAAUUGGGGGACAAAA